UACGGAGGGUGCAAGCAUUAAUCGGAAUUAUUGGGCGUAAAGGGCGCGUAGACGGAUCUACAAGUCAGAUGUGAAAUUCCGGAGCUCAACUUCGGAGCUGCAUUUGAAACUAUAGGUCUAAGAGGGAUGGCGGAGAAAAUGGAAUUCCACGUGUAGCGGUGAAAUGCGUAGAUAUCGGGAGGAACACCUGAGGCGAAGGCGGGCUACUGGGCUGAUACUGACGCUGAGGCGCGAAAGCCAGGGGAGCAAACGGG
rnacentral:rRNA from 1 species